AGAGAGCAAUGCCUAGUCUUAGAGAACAGAAGAGGCAGGGUCCGCAUCUGGUAUUAGCAUUCUUUAUUUAGUUCAACAAAGUCACAUGGAGACAAUAUGUUACAUCCUGACUUUAAACAUUAGUUCAGAGAAGAAAAGUUGCUGAGAUCCCUGCUGCAGUUAUCCACGACUACAUAACAAACCACUACCAAACUUUGCGUCCUAACAACAGUGAUUUAUUAUUUUGCACAGCCUUGUGGAUAAUGAGCUUAGGGUGCAGGUUGGGGAGACUGGUGGUUCUCACAUGAUAACUCAGAGCUCCCAAGAAAGCAAAUGUGGAAGCAUCUAGACCUCUUAAGGCCCUGUCUAGAAUUGUCUGGGCAGCAUUUUCAUCACAUUCCACUGGUAAAGGUGUUCUUACCUUGUAUGUGCCUGCAGGGAUGAGAGAAUUUUGGCCAUCUUUGCAGAUAAUCCACCACAGUCCCUCCAUGCUGCCUUCAUGCAGCAGGUAGUUAUCAUGGUGAAGACCAACGAGAUGAUGAACAUGUAGCACAUAUCUGUAUCACGAGAAUUCCACGAGAAGAGCUCAAACUUUUAUCAUUUCAUUUAUGCCUGUUAGCAUGAAAAAAGAGGCUGAGAAGGGAAGAUGGUGACAAGGAAUUGCUAAGCAGCAGGUCACAUGGGUCACCCAGCGUGGACCGGCCUGAACACAGCUUCCAUGUCCCCACUCUUGCCAAUGUUCUCAUGUGGACACAGCUGGCUUUGUUACAUCAGAAUGAAGGCCUCCCUUAUGAUGGCUCAGUGUUUCCAUAGAAAUGUCCAAGGAACAUGAUUAUAGAGUCAGUCCAUUCAUUAACACAGAGGGUUAGGGGUUGGGAAAAUCAUCUAAUCCAACAGCCUUAUUUUGAAAAUGAAGUUUCCAAGCCCUAGACGUUCAUGGAAGCUCAUGAAAGGCUCCUAAUCACAGUGCCCUUUCCGCGGUAACAUGGGCUCCUUAUUUAGUUCCAUUCAGAAAACCUGAAGAGAGGCCUCCCUGGCCAACGGUAGUGGGGAUUAGAAGCAGUCCGUUUCUGUUAAUAUUUAUAUUCUAUUUUAAUAAAGCCUGGCUUCUUACAA
ensembl:lncRNA novel transcript